CCUAAUAAUAAAUUGAUUUGUCUAUUCAUGUAUAUGGGAAACUGUUCUGAGCACUUCUUAUAUAUUAUCUCAAUCUCCACCACAGCCCUAAAAAAUAGGUACUUUUAUUUUCUCUAUUUCUUCAAUAAGGAACUGAGAAGAUCAGGGCCUUUAGGAAAUUAUUAAGACUUCCCUAUUAAAAACAUGAAUAGAUUUUGAACCCAAGUUCCGGCUGGCCUCUCUUUAUAGAAUAAACAUGUUUUUGUCAGACAAAUCUGAAUUUGAAUCAGGGUUUCAAACUCUUUAAUUAAAAUGCAACUUUGGACGAGUUAUCUAUGCUCACCGAGCCUCCUUUCUACAUGGGGCAGCUGGCAGACUAUAUGUAAAGUUCCUCAUUCCAUUUUAAUUCCCUCUGCCGCUUCUUUGUGGCUGUAUCUCUGCCAACAUUACACAACCUGACAGUGACAGGGUAUGAUGGCAGAUUCAACUGAACAUUUUUGGAGUUUGGUUGUGUAGCAAGUAAGCCUAUUUAACACAUCCUUUCCUGGCCCUGUUGACAACUUUGCUUUCUCAAUUCGCUGAGAGACCAUUGUAACUGGUCUCUGACCCAGUGGGAAAUAUCUUGGUAACAUGAACUUAACGAGAGCUUGAGAAUGUGGUGUCACUUUGGUUUGCUAUCAGUAAAAGAGAGAAGAAAGCUGGACCUCAGACUUUAGGAAUACAUAUUUCAGAAAAUGUAUAUCAAAAUCUUGACCAGUGCUAGCACAUCUAGAAAAGAUGACUAAGGGAUCAGGUAGGAACCAUGUCAGAAAGGAGUAGUAGGAGCCUCAGAGCCCUUCUGGUGAGAGGAAAAUAAAUUUGUUUUUUUCUGUCCGUGAUAUUGUGCUUCAGUCUUUGAAUGAAUUCUGUAUCAUAUUCCUACUUCCCGUAGAAAUGAUAGUAUUCUCUCCAUGAUUUCUUGCCUUUUCUGGAUGGCUAUCGCUAAAGUCAGACUACAGUUACUAGUAUAUUAGAUGUACAUUUUGAGAAACAUUAGUCGAGAGAAUCUGAGAAGCAUGAAACUUUCACGAUGAAUAGAAUAGUCACAGCCACUAGUUUUGAUCUCAAAACAUUGAUUGUAUUAGAAUUCCUUGUUAUUAGUAGACACACAUAAAUUUGUUCUGCUCCCAAAUCUACAGGGACUUUUUAAAAUUGGAGGUACAGAAUUUUCCAGUGCUUUGAACUGUUAGAAAAAAUGGGUGUUAUCCUGGCUAAGUCUGAAAAGACUUUGGAAAGAUAGGAGUGAGUUGAUCCCUAUGCAUAGUGACUUAGCUUUGUAUAGGGGACGGGGUAAUAUACAUAAACUUGCAUAGAUGCUGUUCUUGGAAGGUCCAUUAGUUAUAAAAAUAUAAGUAUCCUUGUUAUUAAUUGUGUUAGGGGAGGAAAAAAAAAACUUCACUUGAAUCUUCCCAUUUGUAGUUCCAAAGCUUUGCUUUGCAAUAUGGUGGUCCCAGCAGCAGAAACUAAGAAAGUGGAGGCAUUCACUAAGUGCCUAUUGGAUGCCUUUCACUGAGGAUGUAAAUGAUACCGUCCUCAGCAUUAAGGAAAUCGACCAAUCAAUCAAUAGCUAGCUGAGACCCACUGAGAACAGUGCUGCAAUACAGACAUACGCAAAGUGCCCUGAGGGCACAGAGGAGGUUAAUUGACUAGGAAUGAUCAGAGAAGAACUGUUGUGUUAAGAAAUGUUAUAAUGUAAGGCUAAAUAUAAGGCAUUUAGCCCAGCUUCUAACAUGUAGUAAAUAAAGAAGCUACUUGAUAGGGCCUAUAUGGCCUCUCACGUCCAAUCUCAUGCUACACUGCCCCAUUGUUGUUACUGUUCAGCCACCGUGGCCUCUUUUCUCUUCUUCAAAAGAACUAAGUCCUUCCCAACUUCAGGGCCUUCGCUCCUGCUUUUCCCUCUGCCUGGAAUAUCUCUUCUCCUCUUCCCGUACUACCCUCUUCCCUCCCUUUCCUGCCCCUCCCCCCCCCCCCCCAGUAUUAACUAGUAUCUUCAAGGAGCACAGCAAGGUAGUCAAGGCCAUGGACUCUGGAUUCAAAUUCACUUACUGGCUCUGUGAUCUUGGGCAGGUUACUUCUCUGCAUCCCAAUUUUCUUAACUGUAAAACAGGGUAAUAAUGUAUUUUUUAUGAAGUGAUUGUGAGGAUUCAAUUGAAACUAUAUAUAAAGCACUUGGGCUAGGGCUUGGCAUGUACUAGCUCUGAUGAAGUGAUUGCUGUUAUAAUAAGAUGUCGUUACCUCAGCAAAACCUUCCUUGACCAGUUUAUCUAGAGUUUUCCCCAAACCACUAUACUUACCCUAUUGUGAUUACUGGCAUAUGUGGGUAUAUUUCUUAUUUCUGCAUCUUAUGUCAAGCCUCUGUUCCCCUCCCUUCCGUUGGUUUCAUCUGGUUUCCUUUAUUUCUCCUUUUCUUCCUCCCAUGAUUUGGAAUUUAUUUACACAUCUUAUUUCUAUUAUUUUUAAUGAUUUUUCCUUGAACUCUUUAAUACAAAUUCCUUACUUGAAGUCUAAAGUAAAAUAUCUUUCCUCUCCUUCAAAUUCAAGAUCUUUUGGCAUCUGUGCUUUAAUUCUGGUCACUCCCUUCACUUUCAUCUUCAUUGUUGUCUAGUCUUUUGAUUCCAACUUAUUUUUCCACUCCCCAAAUUAGCUGCCAUCAGUGCUUUACAUUGUCAGUGCUGUAAAUACCCACAUUCACCAGUUUCUUUUGCUGUAGGAGACAUAUAAACCGGGAAUGAAGUCUAUCUUAGCAAAACAUCUAUAAUAAAUGCCGCUAAUGAAGACUGAACUAUCAUAAAACAUAUCUGGUUGUCGCUUGGUCGUUAAGUGCUGUCUUCCCUCUGAUCACAUUACAUUAAUUCAGCAGACGGUUAUGCUGCACUGUGCUUGCAGCCUUGAUGAGUAUACCGGUGAUGCAUCAGGGUAAAAGAAGGUCCCUGCCUUUGAAGAAGCCUGUGCCUUAUUUACUUACUUGUUAA